rnacentral:lncRNA from 10 species
AGUUUUCUAAAACUUCUCAAGGCAUUCCGUUCCUCCUUCGUUCCAGCCCCUCAUGUUAUUAACUCACCUAAUUCAUCACAUGGGCAUUGUGUACAAAGGCACUCUGCUACUCACUGAGGAUACACAUUGUUCUUAACCUCAGGGGACAUUCCUCAAGGAAUUAACCAAAUCAGGAGAUCCUUACCUGCAGGGGUCAGACAGGGAGCUGAGGACAGCCCCCGGAGGACAAGGUCCUGAAGGCCUGGUUUGUAGCUUCUGUGCUGUGCUUAUCAUUGGGCCUGGCACAUUGAUCUCUCCAUAAACUCGUGUAACUUAAAUGAAUGAUUGAGUCAGAGCACAGGGCAGAGAGCUGUUUUGGAGGCCACUUAUCUUCAUGUCAUAGUUACCCAGACAUAAGACCAGAGGCGUUCCCUUUGGUCUCAUAUAUACAUAUAUGUAUUGUAUUUUUCCCUAAAAUUAUUCCUUUGUAUUAUUUUUGCAAUUAUAAAUGUAUAUUUGCAAUCUGAAAUGCUGAGUUUCUUUUUUACAUCAGGAGCAAAUAUCCAAAUUUUCUUUUGUUUGUUUGUUUCUUUCUUUUUUUUUUUUUUUCCUGAGACAGGGUCUCACUCUGUCAUCCAGGCUGAGGUGCAGUGGUGCGAUCAUGGCUCACUGUAGCCUUGAACUCUCCAGGCUCAGGCGAGCCUCCUACCUCAGCCUACCAAGUAGCUGGGACCACAGACACACACCACCAUGUGCGACUAACUUUAUUUAUUUUAUUUAUUUAUUUUUGAGAUGGAGUCUUGCUCUGUUGCCCAGGCUGGAGUGCAGUGGUGAGAUCUCGGUUCACUACAACCUCUACCCUCCUGGGUUCAAGCGAUUCUCCUGCCUCAGCCUCCUGAGUAGCUGGGACUAUAGGUGCACCCCACCAUGCCUGGCUAAUUUUUUGUAUUUGUAGUAGAGACAGGGAUUCACUAUGUUGGCCAGGCUGGUCUCGAACUUCUGACUGCGUGAUCCACCCACCACAGCCUCCCAAAGUGCUGGGAUUACAGGUGUGAGCCACCACACCCGGCCAACUAGCUUUAUUUUAUUUUAUGUUUUUUUGUAGAGAUAGUGUUUCGCUGUGUUGCCCAGGCUGGAACUCCUGGGCUCAAGUGAUUCUCCCACUUUGGCCUCCCAAAGCCGCCCAAAGUCCUGGGAUUAUAGGUGUGAGCCACUGUGCCCAGAAAAAAAUUUCCUUUUUACUUCUGUACCCAGAGCUGACCUUACUUAAGCUGUGGAAGAUAAAAAAAAAAUCACUACAGUAUUAGUGGCCUCAAUUGAAGCAGUUAUUUCGAACUAACUGAAAUCGGAAAAACAAUUUCUUUUUACUUCUGUACCCAGAGAUGACCUUACUGAAGCUGUGGAAGGUUAAAAACAUCACUACAGUAUUAGUGGUCUCAACUGAAGUAGUUAUUUUGAACCAAUUGAUAUGUAUAUAUUUUAUUUGUAAUUUAGAAAAAUACUAAUAAUUCUGUCUCUUAAUAUAUGUUGGGAGUAGCAGCUCUUAAUGAAUUGUUAGUAACGCCCUUCACUCCCAUCCCCUACACCCCUGUCUUACGUACAAGUUAAAUUAAAGGGGUUGAUAAACUCACUUUUCUGUCGUUUUAUUCAGCUCUAAAUGCUCUGGUUAUUUCAGAGCUCCUGGCUUAAGGAAUUAAGAUUCUCAUCAGAUACAUAAACAAAUGAGUAUUUCUUUCCAAGAUCAAAGCCAACCUUUGUUUUGACGAUCGCUUUUUAUAAAAACAAGUGGUGUUGAUUUUUGUACACAUUGUCUCUUUUU